CUUGGAGUCUUCUGUGAACCCAUUGCGUGGAUGCAUAACAAGAACACCGUUAGUAGUCAAGCCGUCCAUCUGCCCAUCUGAUGUCUUCCAUUUGGCAGCCUUCUCCUAGUAGGAAUAAGAAUAUGUCCAGCAAUGCAUACAUUCAGAGUUUGAAGAUCUGAUGGCGUGAGUAAGAAAUGUUCUUGUUCAGUUUAGAACGUAGGCAAUCUUAUGAUGCUUAUAAAACCAGUUCCUCAAAGACUGGCUAAUAUAUCGGAGUAGUUUCUGAUGUAUCUCAGGUUUUUUAAAUGUAUAAAUGUUUGGAUUUUCCGUAGGUAUAAUGCUUGUAGACAGGGUAUAGUCAGUUUACCAUAUUGGGAAAUACUCUCUAUUCCCUUAUGAAAAGGAGAAAACCAAAAGUGUUACAACUUUUUAAGGACCUUCAUAAAAUGAUGAAGACACUGUUCCAUAAUUCACAAUGCCUGGUUUAAUACCAAUUUUGCUCCCAACUAAUUUUGCAAUCUUUAACUCACAAGAUUUCAGUAAGUUUAUCAAUAAAAGAUAAGGGAUAAACAAAUAAAUACAAGGUACCUUCUGCAACUAAAAUUCCAGUCUAUAAUCACAUAUCUAGGUAGCAACCUGAUUUUUAAAAAAGCUAACUAAUCACAUUCAUUUUAACUGGUUGUCAGUAAAAUAAAAUGUGGAAAAUCAUCUUAAAGCUUGUGUUAGGUUCUAAUUAAAAUCUAAAACUUCA